CAGUCGCCGCGGGAAUACGGAGGGUGCAAGCGUUAAUCGGAAUUACUGGGCGUAAAGCGCACGCAGGCGGUCUGUCAAGUCAGAUGUGAAAUCCCCGGGCUUAACCUGGGAACUGCAUUUGAAACUGGCAGGCUAGAGUCUUGUAGAGGGGGGUAGAAUUCCAGGUGUAGCGGUGAAAUGCGUAGAUAUGCGGAGGAACACCGAUGGCGAAGGCAAUCCCCUGGGCCUGUACUGACGCUCAUGCACGAAAGCGUGGGGAGCAAACAGGAUUAGAUACCCGGGUAGUCCCUGUCUCUUAUAC
rnacentral:rRNA from 1 species